AAGUCUCGUUUUCCUCAACGAAUAGUGCUUUCUGCAUAGAAGACACUCAAGAAAAAAACGUCUCUUCUCCGUUGACAAGAGUGCAGGGGGAGAGAGGAGGAGCACCGGGGGGCUGGGGUGGGGGGGGCUGCUUGCGUUGCUGAAGAAUUCGACUUCUUUCAGAGAGUCGCCUUUCCUCGUUUCUUUCCUCCUGAAACAAAUCUGCGGUCGCCAGACGUGGACUUUCGCUGCCGGAACUGAAAGGCGAACCUGCCGCUCCCCUCUGCGAAUCAAGCUCUCUUUAUCUCGCCCUUAUCGGAUACUUUAAGCCGGGAGUGAGUUCCUUGCUCUGAGCCGGUCUCUCUCUCAGCUGUCUCUUCCCAUCUUCCCACUGCGCGAAGCCGAGAAACGCUUCUCAAGUGCUUCGGAAAUCGACAAACGCGGUGAUUCCGUGCUUCCACACACCUUCGCCUUGACGCCCUGAAAAACUCUUUCGCCUCACGUCAAAGGGGGCCUGGAUCAGGAGCAGGCAAACUCCGUGAGACGCCUUUCUGCAGACCGGACUUUUCUCUCCACUACGGUACCCAAGUGUCCUCUUUCCAUCAGGAAAACAGACUUGUGAUACUUUGACGAAACAAAGAAGUGAAUGUUAUAUAUAUAUAUAUAUAUAUAUAUAUAUAUAUAUAUGUAGGGUCGGUCGCCUGUGGUAGAGUGAAUCCGCUAACAAAGGCCAUGAAAAGAGUGUAACCAGUUGUCGAACGCAAAGUAAAUGACAUGCCUUUUCAUUGAAACGCCCUUCCCUUCUCGCCCCAUCAUUAUGAUCACGAAGUACACGUGUAGGUUAGGGAGUUUUUCUCCCGCAUAACACCCAGUGUAAAGUGUUUCUGAAAACAGAGUUCAUUCCGGCCUGUGCUAUGCUACUUUUAAGUGCAGUCCCUGUUUGGCUCCGAUUUCACGGCAACAGAUUUGUCUGGACGCUUCCGUUUAGGGGACUUGUACUGCCGCGUCUGUCGAGCAAUGUGUUGUUAAGGCUGAGCUUCCAUAAAGUAUCCGAGGUUGGAAGAUCUGUCUCCCAUCUUACGGAAGACACGGACGCCUCUUUAUUACACUCCUGUCCGUCAACCGCAUAAUAUUGAGUGAAUACAAAGGAACAUUCUAUUAGGUCUUAUCGGGACGUGUUACUGUCUUUCCUCCACACUUUGUCAAAGAAACGGGCGCAUCAAUUCACAGAGUGCGAAGCUUCGAGCGAGGUGUAGCGCGGCUGCUUCGAACAAGUGCCGUUUUCGCUGGUAAUCGUACAAGCGGUAAGCUUUCGAGGUUCGGGUGCCUACAGACAGC
rnacentral:lncRNA from 1 species